ensembl:snoRNA SNORA70 Small nucleolar RNA SNORA70
CUGCAGCUUAUUAAGCCGACUGGUCUCGCUGAAGUGUGGUUCCGGUGUGCAAUGGCUGCAGACAGUGACUCUUUGGUUGUGUAUGUCCUCAGCUGGGAGGUGCUGAGUGCUUUAAGGGACCACUGAGACAAAU